rnacentral:rRNA from 1 species
AGGACGAACGCUGGCGGCGUGCUUAACACAUGCAAGUCGAGCGGUAAGGCCUUUCGGGGUACACGAGCGGCGAACGGGUGAGUAACACGUGGGUGAUCUGCCCUGCACUCUGGGAUAAGCUUGGGAAACUGGGUCUAAUACCGGAUAUGACCACAGUGCGCAUGUGUUGUGGUGGAAAGUAUUUAUCGGUGCAGGAUCGGGCCCGCGGCCUAUCAGCUUGGUUGGUGGGUAAUGGCCUACCGAAGGCGACGACGGGUAGCCGACCUGGAGAGGGUCGACCGGCCACACGUGGGACUGAGACACGGCCAGACUCCGUACGGGAGGCAGCGAGGU